rnacentral:rRNA from 1 species
CUUACUAUGCGACUAGGAUCGAGUGGCUCAACACCAUUCAGUACUUGAGAAUCAAAGUUUUGGGUUCUGGGGGGUAUGUCGCAAGACUGAACUUAAAGAAAUUGACGGAAGGCGGCAGCGGGGAGUGGGGCUGCGCCUCACUUUGACUCAACAACGGGAACUUACCAGAUCCAGGGGGUGGUGGGGAUGACAGAUUGAUAGCUCUUUCGUGCUUCUAUGGGUGGUCGUGACCGUCUAGUUGGUGGAGUGAUUGUCUGGUUAAUUCCGAUAACGAACGAGACCUUAACCUGCUAACUAGAUUCGAUCAUCUUAUGGUCGUUAUCUUCUUAGAGGGACUAUGUAACAUAAAUACAUGGAAACAUGGAAGUUGUUUGAGGCAAUAACAGGUCAGUGAUGCCUUAUAUGUCCUGGGCUGCACGCGUGCUACACUGAUGUAUACAACAAGUGCCUAGUCAGACAUGACAUGGCAAUCUCGAAUAUGCAUCGUGAUGGGGAUAGAUCUUUGCAAUUAUGGAUCUUGAACGAGGAAUUCCUAGUAAGUGCAAGUCAUCAUCUUCUAUUGUUUAUGUCCCUGCCCUUAACACAACGCCCGUCGCUCCUACCGAUACCGGGUGAUCCGGUGAACCUUGGACCGCAAGGGGAAGAUAAGUAUCCAUAUCCCAAGGAAGGAGAAGUCGAACAAAAAUCCCUCCCACUCGGAGGACCCC